rnacentral:piRNA from 1 species
UGGAAAGUGAUUGGACUUCUCGAUGUCAGC